rnacentral:rRNA from 1 species
UACGUAGGGCGCAAGCGUUAUCCGGAAUUAUUGGGCGUAAAGAGCUCGUAGGCGGUUUGUCGCGUCUGCCGUGAAAGUCCGGGGCUCAACUCCGGAUCUGCGGUGGGUACGGGCAGACUAGAGUGAUGUAGGGGAGACUGGAAUUCCUGGUGUAGCGGUGAAAUGCGCAGAUAUCAGGAGGAACACCGAUGGCGAAGGCAGGUCUCUGGGCAUUAACUGACGCUGAGGAGCGAAAGCAUGGGGAGCGAAACAGG